ensembl:processed_transcript
AGUUUUAACAGUCUAUUGGUCAAUGUUCUCAACUCUUCCCGCCCACCAGCGCCCUGUGUAGAGAGGCCAGCUGUCUCUGGUUAUUCAGUGAUCCAAGAGCUGGGAAACUAUUGGUCGACAGAGGCCGUCAGACCGGACUGUAGUGAUCGGUGAUUGAUGAAAGACUUGGACAGCUUAACAAAUAGGGAGGUUAAGGAGUAUAGAACACACUGAGGAACAAACAAAUCCCCUUGCUAAGUCACUCAUGGAGAGACUUCUCAGAUCCUGAGUCUCCCUGGGCUAUUGCUUACUGAUAUGGAUUGAAUCAUUAAUGCUUGGUGAGUGGAGACUCCUCACAGCAAAGGGAGCAAAGCCAGCAAUGGGGAGAUGGGCCAACGAGCAUCUCAGGAUGAUACGUUGAGCAAACUGGCCGAGCAUCAUCUUGAGCUCUGUUGGUAAUCAUGGUGAGGCCCAAGAUGAAGGCAGCUGAACAAAAGAGUUGUGAGUGCUAACAAGCACACCUUCAAGUUCAUGAAUGACCAGCUGUUUUCUCUUCACUUUAAAUUACUAGGUGAGCCCACACAUUCUUUCUCUGGAUUCUCUCCCUUUGGUAAGGCCUAUUAAGAUAAAUCAUGCGUCAAGUUAUGUAUAAGACUCAUAAGUAUGAUUCUUUACUGGCAAGGAAGUAUCCUUUAGGUUUACUACCAUUAUUCUAUUUGUCAAGUAAGGUUGCUGGGAAUCUUUGAAUUCAGUAACUAUAAAUCCAAUUCAAACUAAACUAAAACCAGGGAAUAUCAUUGGGUCAACUAGCAGAGUAUAGGGAAAAGAAUGGCUUCAGGAAAAGCUGCUCUUAGGACUCAAAUGAGGUUUCUACAUUGUGUUUUUUCUUUCUUUUAUUGGUGAUACAGUUGCCAACAGGUCCAGGGAACUAUUUUAUAGCUUCAGAAACUCUGGCACCUCUAGAAAAAUGUUCAGACUAGCUUAGAUUGGUGGUCAUAUCAGCUUGUGCAUUUCCCCGAGCUGUUCACUGUAGCCAGGGAAGGUGGGGCUCUGAUUACCUCAGCUUGAGAGCCUUUCAACAGCAUGUGGAAGAUCAGCAGUAAAGAAGUAUGCUUUCUAAAGAAUAUCAGAGGUUUACUACCAGGGGUAGAGAAAAAUUUUCCUGCAAUUCAUGAGGUAAGCUGUUAGUCAAAAAUAGAACAGAUCCCACCAAGAGCAAUAGGUAGUAGAGCCCCAACCCCUCUCCUUACUGCAGGCUUUCUACUUUCAAGCUUGUUAGCCCCUUCUAGGCAGAAACAAUCAAUACUUGGAUUGAGUUGAAAUUGAUACAGACUCCUUUCUCUAGGUUUGCUUUCACCGCUCCUUGAUUUCAUUUUCAGAAUGAUUUCUACCCACACAUGGCGUAGAGCAAGAAGUUAGUGCUUCUGAAAAGAAAACUCAUCUACUGUAUUUCACCUCUAGCACAUGCACCUCCCAUGCCUACACACAUUCCAAAGUUUCUUUAGAGAAAGAGAAACGGAAGUCUCUGAACAAUCACUGGUUCUUAAAAGGAAACCCUGGCGGAAAGUUGGGAAAAAAACUGUAUCAGAUAGAGAAAAUGAAUAGAUGGAUGGAAAACCUUAAACUGCUUCUGGAUGAGACAGAAAAGGCAACAACUCAUCCACAGCGCUCUGGAGGGGCAGCACAAAGCACUUUAAUCUUUGAUGAAUGUGAUUGGACUCUUUCCACUACUCAAGAAAGACUGAAGUGUUCACGAGGGCUCAUCCUGAGCUGGCUCCCUGCCACAGUCGACCUUGGACUCCGCAUAAUUAUCAAUCUUUUAUAGUCUACUUCCACUAUUUUAAAAAGCUUCAUUUUGACAAGAAAGUCUGAUAGAGACACGUGUGGUAAGUAAAGCCCAGUAUUUGGAAUUAAGACACUGGAGUGGAGCCAGGAGUUUGUGAUGGGCACUGCAUUAGUGGACAGCUGAGUAUCCCCCUGUGUUUUUAUUAUCAGGAGGCACAAAGUAAAGGAAGCUGGAAAAAUCAAGUUGUGAAUGCUAAUAAGCACACCCGUGUGUUCAUGAACUUGGGUAACUGAUCAGCAGUUUCCCUGAGCCACCGAUGUUUGUUCUACUCUUUCAUCAGUCAGGGCAUCCAUUCCAAGAGUGCCUCCUAACUAUAUUGUCCAGUUAUCAUGGAGGAUGUCCAUGGACGAGCAUAUGAUAUUACAGAUGCACCUAUGUUAUAAUGGAAGCCAUUAGAUAGAGCAUUUCCCUUUGGAUCAAUAUGGAAGACACUUUCUGGUUAGUUAAGAUGUUUUAUCUCUUAAUAUGGUGGUACGAUACUAAGUUCACUUGAAAGGUUGAAAACACUGCUCAUCCACACAACUAGAGUGAUCAAUAUCUUAAUGAUUAAAUUUAAGAAUAUUGCCUACUAUCUAUAACUGAUAGAACAAUUGGAUGGCAGAUCUAGAGCAGAGAGGACCCGGAGAAAGAAACCAGCAUAGAUCUGGGCCUAUCACAAAUUACUUAACUUAAUGUGUGUUAGUACCAUUGCUGCCACAAAUAGCUGACAACCUGAAAAAAAAAAACCCAACUUGUUGGUGGAACGAUUUAUUUUGGUUCCUGAUUCCAAAGGCUUCAGUCUAUGAUUAUAUGGAUCCAUUGCUUCUGGACUUGUGAUGAGGGGGGAAAAAAAAGAAAGAAAGAAAAAGAAAAAGAAAAAAGUCACAGUGGAGAGCAAAGGAACUCACCUCAAGAUAGAGAUGUAUAGAUAGGUAGAUAGACAGAUAGAUAAUAUGUAGGUAGGUAGAUAGACAGAUGGAUAAUAGGUAGAUAGGUAGAUAGACAGAUGGAUGAUAGGUAGGUAGAUAGAUCAAGGGGGUCUGAUUAGGAGAAGAAAGGGGACAUUCUAAGGCAGGUUCCCAGUGACCUAUUUCCUCCAUAGGCCUACUUCAUUGUCUUAAUUAGAGUUUCUAUUGCUGGGACAAAACACCACGCCUAUGAGCAACUUGGCGAGGAAAAGGCUUAUUUCUACUUACAAUUCUCAGGUCAUACUGCUGAGUCAGUACAGGAACUCAGGAUAGGAAGGAACCUGAAGGCAGGAAGUGAAACAGGAGCCAUGGAAGAGUGCUGCUUAGUAGAUUUAUCUUCAUGGCUUGCUCAUUUUACUUUGUUAUACAACACCAGGACCACCUAUCUAGGGGAGGCACUACUCACAAUAGGCUGGGACCUCCCUCAGCAAUCAUUAAAGAAAGAAAAUCCCCACAGAUCACUCUGGCAGGGCAUUUUCUAAAUGGAUAUCUUUUCUUCCAAAAUGACUCUAGCCUGUGUCAAGUUGAUGUAAGAACUAGCCAGCAUACUCCUAAAGUUUCUACUACCUCCUAAUAAUACCAUCAGACUAAGAGUCCAUCGGCUGACACAAUAGAUGACUUUUGAAUCACUUUCCAAAGGGCUCACUUCUGAACACUGCUUCCCUGGGUACCGAGCCUUCAAUACUUGAAUUUUAAGGGGACUCUUCAUAGUUAAAGCAUAACACUGUGGAUGCUGACUUUUUUCAGAGAUGUAUGGGUGGUCAUUUUGCUAGUCGUCUAUUUAGAUAUUAGCAGGCUUGAAAGGGCAAUAGAGAUGGACCUGUCUCUCAUAACCAACAGUUUAUAAAACCAGGGCCUAGAUUGUAGGACUUGAAUACUCCAGUUACACUGGUCAGAUAAAUGGAACCUCAAUUAUAAUUUCAGCUCUAAGAGGCUUUGUGACAUCUUGACUUUUCUGAGUGGUCACUAACUGGAAACAAUCCAAACCAGACUAUAGGAUGCUUAAGCCUUACAAGAUUGUAUAGGAGGAUUUCUGAUAAAAAACAAAACCAGUCUAAGGAUAUAACAUGACCCAUUUAGUUAAUUCAAGUCAGCUUGUCAAUCACCUAGACAGGAAAAUAUCCUCCAGAAAAGCUAUCUGAUUCAGAAACUUUACAUAUAGUUUGAAAUCUGCCUGAACUGUAUAUUGGGGGCAAUCUAAUGGUCUCUUCGGGCAUCAUCCACUCGUUCCUCUUGACAGUACUUCACUUAACUCUGUAAUAAACUAUCUUUU